UACGUAGGGUGCGAGCGUUGUCCGGAAUUAUUGGGCGUAAAGGGCUCGUAGGCGGCUUUGCAAGUCGGGUGUGAAAGCCCUCAGCUCAACUGAGGAAGUGCGCCCGAAACUGCAGAGCUUGAGUGCCGGAGAGGGUGGCGGAAUUCCCCAAGUAGAGGUGAAAUUCGUAGAUAUGGGGAGGAACACCGGUGGCGAAGGCGGCCACCUGGACGGUAACUGACGCUGAGACGCGAAAGCGUGGGGAGCAAACAGG
rnacentral:rRNA from 1 species